AUGUCAUGUUAGAAUGGUAUGAGAGGAAACAAAGCGCUCGCCUCUGGGAAGUGUAGUUUUAUUUUAACUGAAAGGGUCUGUGGUAAAGCGCCGAGUACCACAAGUCCAAGCAUGCAACAGCGGUACUGGGUGGCGUUCCUUCCAUAUAUGCAUGGAAUAGAAAGCUUUUCGGGUAACACUGAUCAGUGAGAGAAAGAUGAGCGGAGAAACAUGCCUGCGCAGAAGAGGGGGGCCUUACAAGACUGCUCCAGCCACUGACCUCACACACUGGCGCCUUUCUUGCACAGAGGGGAGGCAAACAUGGUGUUAUGUGGAGGAGGAGGAUCGGAAACAAACCGUGUUGGAGGCUCACUCCUUAGGGCUGGAAACGAGUGACCUACUGAAGGAUUUGCCACCACCACAAACUGCAUAUGAUGGAGCGUAUAAUGGAAUCACAUUUUACUCCGCUUUACAAGCUGAGGAUGGACACUGGGCUGGAGACUAUGGUGGUCCUCUAUUUCUAUUACCAGGUCUCCUCAUUGCUUGUCAUGUGACAAAAACUUCAUUACCUGAUGCCACAAAGAAGGAAAUGAUCCGAUACCUGCGCUCCGUCCAGUUACCAGAUGGAGGAUGGGGGCUGCACAUUGAGGACAAGAGCACUGUUUUUGGGACAGCUCUAAGCUACACCUCCCUGCGCCUCCUCGGGGUGUCACAGGAUGAUUUGGAUCUGACCCGAGCUCGGAAUAACCUGCUAAGCAAAGGUGGUGCUGUUGGUAUUCCCUCUUGGGGAAAGUUCUGGCUAGCUGUACUGAAUGUGUAUAGUUGGGAAGGCAUGAACACCCUGUUCCCAGAAAUGUGGCUCUUGCCUCACUGGUUUCCAGCUCACCCCAGCACACUUUGGUGUCACUGCAGACAAGUUUAUCUCCCUAUGAGUUAUUGUUAUGCCACUAGGCUAAGUGCUCACGAGGAUGACCUGAUCCGCAGUCUGAGACAGGAACUGUAUCUAGAAGAUUAUAGCAGCAUCAAUUGGCCAGCCCAGAGGAACAAUGUCGCUAGCUGUGACAUAUAUACUCCACACAGUACUCUGCUUCACAUUGCCUAUGCUUUUCUGAAUGUAUACGAGUCCUAUCACAUCCCUGCCCUCCGGCGCCGUGCAGUGCAUGAGCUGUACGAUCACAUUGCAGCAGAUGACAGAUUCACCAAAUGUAUCAGCAUUGGACCAAUUUCCAAGGUGAUUAACAUGUUGGUCCGUUGGCAUGUGGAUGGCUCAGAAUCCUCUGUCUUCAGGGAGCAUGUCGACCGUAUACCUGAUUAUCUUUGGUUGGGUUUGGAUGGAAUGAAAAUGCAGGGUACCAACGGUUCUCAGCUGUGGGACACAGCUUUUGCUGUUCAGGCCUACCUUGAGGCUGGAGCUCACCGUAGAAAGGAGUUUCAGAAUUGCCUGGAGAAAGCACAUGAAUUUCUACGAAUCUCCCAGAUUCCAGAUAAUCCACCUGACUACAAGAAAUAUUAUAGGCAGAUGAACAAGGGUGGGUUUCCCUUUAGCACACGUGACUGUGGUUGGAUUGUGGCAGACUGUACAGCUGAGGGCCUGAAGUCUGUCAUGUUACUGCAAGAACAAUGCCCCUUUUUAACUGAUCUCGUCCCACCAGAGAGGCUGCGGGAUGCUGUUGAUGUGUUACUCAGUAUGCGCAAUUCUGACAGAGGCUUUGCUACGUAUGAGACCAAACGUGGCGGACUCCUGCUGGAACUUCUCAAUCCUUCUGAGGUGUUUGGGGACAUCAUGAUUGAUUACACGUAUGUGGAGUGCACAUCUGCUGUAAUGCAGGCCCUUAAACAUUUCCAAGCAAGGGACCCAAACUACAGAGCACAGGAAAUCAGAUUUGCAGAUACAGAGAGACCCUGCAGAAAGGGCUGGAUUAUUGCUGUUCAGUGCAGAGACAAGAUGGUUCCUGGGAAGGGUCCUGGGGUGUGUGCUUUACAUAUGGUAUUUGGUUUGGUCUGGAGGCCUUUGCUUGCAUGGGACAUACAUACAAGGAGGGUUGCCCUGAAAUCAUUCGUGCCUGCAAUUUCCUGCUCUCCCACCAAAUGGAAGAUGGAGGAUGGGGGGAAGAUUUUGAAUCCUGCGAACAGAGGAGAUAUGUUCAGAGCGCAGGCUCUCAGAUACACAACACUUGCUGGGCCCUGAUGGGUCUGAUGGCUGUCGGGUUCCCUGAUGUCACUGUUUUGGAAAGAGGUGUCCGACUUUUACUGAAUAAACAGCUCAGUAAUGGGGACUGGCCACAGGAGAAUAUCUCAGGAGUGUUUAACAAGAGCUGUGCAAUCAGUUACACAUCGUAUCGGAAUGUAUUUCCCAUCUGGACCCUUGGCCGUUUCUCCCAUCUGCACCCAGAGAGCUCUUUGGCUGGACUUCUAAAGAACUGAUUUUAUCCACCAGAGCGGAACAUUCCUACAGCUCUAUGAAUACCUUCUCCAUUUUUAGUGCCUCAUGUCAGAUCACUGGCCCCCUUUUUUAAUUCCAACACUGUCAUAAUUUCAUGCUCUUAUAGCAGCAUUGUGUCUAACACACAUCCAUUCAAAUCUGUGCAGCUAUUUACAAAAUACUCAACUAAUGCAGUGAUCUGCCAUCUAAUGGAAUACAUUUUAAUGUGCUGAGCCGAACUCUAUUUUCUAAAUUAAUGUUAAUAAUAUAGAUAAUUGUACAAUUGUAUAGCUGAAAAUAAAGACAUUUCAUGUAAAUACUGC